rnacentral:rRNA from 1 species
CCUACGUGAGGCAGCAGUGGGGAAUAUUGGGCAAUGGGCGCAAGCCUGACCCAGCAACGCCGCGUGAAGGAAGAAGGCUUUCGGGUUGUAAACUUCUUUUCUCAGGGACGAAGCAAGUGACGGUACCUGAGGAAUAAGCCACGGCUAACUACGUGCCAGCAGCCGCGGUAAUACGUAGGUGGCAAGCGUUAUCCGGAUUUACUGGGUGUAAAGGGCGUGUAGGCGGGAAAGCAAGUCAGAUGUGAAAACCAUGGGCUCAACCUGUGGCCUGCAUUUGAAAAUGUUGUUCUGGAGUACUGGAGAGGCAGACGGAAUUCCUAGUGUAGCGGUGAAAUGCGUAGAUAGUAGGAGGAACACCAGUGGCGAAGGCGGUCUGCUGGACAGCAACUGACGCUGAGGCGCGAAAGCGUGGGGAGCAAACAGGAUUAGAUACCCCAGUAGUC